ACUGUCCGGAACAAGACACGCGCUGGAAAGCGCUGGAUGGAGUGAACCCGACCUUCUGCUUUGAGGGCCUCUCCGCACUUUCUAUGCCUCUGCCUUGGACCCUUGAAAAGGGAUGUGUGACUCUGACCGAAGGGACCUCAGUUCCUGUUCCUCUACAUCAACAGUUCUCAACAUUAGCCUCUGUCAGGAUUACGGAGGGCCGGCCAAGACGCAGGCUGCCAGGCUCCGCCCAGGAAAUCAGAUGAGGAAAACCUCUUGCUGACAAACCCAUCCCUCUGUCUGAGGCACUCACAGCCUAAAGGAGAGACCCAGCCAUGGGACUAUGGCCCCUCUGGACCACGCAAGCCGCCAGGAAGGAAUGAAGAGGUGAUGGCUUUCCUGACGUUUCCAGAUGCUUUUGGCAGAAGCGAAUGGAAUGAAGAUGUAUGGUGACGGGAAACAUAGAUGGCAGUCCAGAACAACAAUCGUGUCAGCUCUGGAUGUCCCUGCAGAGCUCGGCACAGGGCGGAGUGAGUGUGGGAACGCGAGGCUGGGGGCCGUGUGCGGGUUCACCUGUCCUCUGCUCAGGGCCCCUCCCCCGACACCAGCUUCUUUGUGCUAGUAAGCCCCAGAAGAGAGCCCACUGUCAGUGCAGAGGACUGAGGGGCCCUCACACAAAGGAGCACCUGGUCUGGGAGGCCUCGGCUGCCCGGAACUGCAGGGCCAGGGCCAAGGCCAGGAGGGGAAGAGAGGGGAGGUGCGGCGCCCACAGCUCACCUCCAGGAGGGACUGCAGAGGAAUGCUCCUUCUGUCCCAGAUGGAGGCAGGCAGUGACAGAGGCUCCAGAGGAAGAUCUUUUCCCACAUCAGGUCCUCUGGUGGGUCCACCAGUCACGUGUGACUGCCCUGGCCCACAGGAAGCCCUGGGGCACAGUGCCUGUCUGCCUGUAAGCAAGGCCUUCUGGGUACAGCGACUAAGCUCUGCUUGAGCAGAUGUGACAGGAAUUCCGCCCGGACUAGCUCUGUCCCUGGCACUUGGGGUGUGGGACCCUCAGUGAUGGCACUGUUCAGGGAAGCAGAAUUACAAGGCCUGCCCAAGAUAAAAACAGCAAAAUCCACUCUCUGUCCUCCUCAUGAGUUUGGAAGAGAAGUGCUUUGAGAAGAGCAGCUUUCUAUACACACACGGAAUAGUGCUGAGGACUGUGACUCAGGCUCUCCCAGGAGGGCGAUGCAGCCUGCGGUGUCACGGGACAUCAGUGUGCUGGGACCUGUGUUGCCACCGCACAGCCCGCCUUCCUCGGGAACUGGGAGGGACUUCUGGCAGAGACCCUGGAAGGCUCCCGAUCUCCAUGGGAAGCCCCAGGGAUGAUACAGAGUCCGGGGCUGCAGCAGCUCUGAAGGCCAGUUUCCCUUUGCUUCCGUGCCCCAUCCAGAGGGCGAGCCUUCCAGAGGCCUGCUGCUCAGACCCUUGGUAGGGAGGACCGUGGAGAUGUGGCAGGCAGUGAGACACAGCCUCAGAGGCAGCCCUCAUAUCUUCAUCGUGGCAGAGAGUUCUCAAAGCAUGCUCCCUUUGGAGAGCUCCUUUAAUUUCCGAGCAGUCCUGAGAGGCUGCGU